CUGCCGGCGGCCAGGUUCAGCGAGUGACCGGUUGGACGCUGGGCUGAGACCCGGAUCGGAACGGUGUGCGCUUCCCCGUCGUCAGGC
rnacentral:tRNA from 1 species